rnacentral:lncRNA from 1 species
CAAGCAACCUCCUGCGACUUUGGCGUGAUUCAUCCUCAUCUCAACCGAGAAGAGAGAAGGAGGGAGAGCCUAUAUAAAGAAGAGUUCUUCUCUUUCGGAGGCAUGAAUUCCCUCACAGGCCAAUCCCACGGGAAGAAAGAAGGAGUGAAGGGAGAGAAUACUUUGGCUAUUCCGGGAAUAACUUCCCAUAUAAAAAAAUGAAGUGCUAAGAGGGAGGUUCUUCAAUGGAAGUCGCCGGAGGAAGAAAGAAAGAAGAGCUGGUCGUGACGGGAGCCUGCUGCUGUGCUGCUGCUGCUGUCCUCCACUACAUGGAAGCUUAAAUUCCUCUCUAGGGCUGGAUGCAGCCCUAACAAAGGGAUAAGGAUUUUAUAUUUGAUUUUAUAUUCUUGGAGUUGUAUGAACUUAUUGUUUUUAAUGGAUAUCUUCUUUUGAAUCA